UUCCCAUACCGAACACGGAAGUUAAGCUCUCUAGCGCCGAUGGUAGUUGGGACCUUGUCCCUGUGAGAGUAGGACGUCGCCAAGC
rnacentral:rRNA from 1 species